AUUGAAUAAUACCGAAUGUUUAGUAUAAUCGUUGGAGAAUGGCCAACGAGUUCCUACCUGCACCGAAACGCAGACUACUAGAUGAAGCUUUUUGGCG
rnacentral:ncRNA from 2 species